rnacentral:lncRNA from 1 species
AAUAAAGAUCGUUUGCCUAAAACAUUUUUCUCAAUGAACCCAAAUCUUCCUCUUGCUCUCGUGCUUCUCUCUAUCUCCCUCUUCACGUUGUGCGCUGCCCACAACUUCACUCACCAACAAGUGUGAGGUCCCCACUUGAGGAGGGAUCCACCUAACAAAUCUCUUUAUCAUGACUCAACAGGGACUAUCAAUUCUCUUUCCAACAACCAUGUUGCAAGCCUAAACAUUUUUCCAUUACAUAAGACUCCAGAACAAGUGAUCCAUAUUCAAUUGCAACAUCAACUCCUUCAAUAGUGUACCUCGUCAAAGACUUUCUUACUUUGGUGAAAUUUCUCUGUACAAAAGGCGUGACAAUUUUCUUGGCCUUCAUCACGAGUUGGAUCAUCACUAUUAACUCUAUCAUAUCUUUCAACCGAUGAUCUUAUAUAAUCUCAACAUCCGAUAAGUUUCUUCAUAUCACAAUCAUAAAACCUGUAAUCAGCUCCAUCUAAGUCAUAGCAAAGAAACAUACAAUGUUGACUCUUCACAUAUGUUUUGCAUCCGAAAACACAUAAGUGGUCAUAAGAAAUAUUCUUACGCAACCAAAUCUUAUCUCGUACUUCAUAUUGCAAGGACACGCUUGGUGAAAGAUUCAAGACAUGCACAAUUGUGCUCAAUGCUUCACCCUAAAACGAUUUUGGAAGAUUUGUCUCGAACAAAAAGCAUUUAACCCUUUCCACCAAUGUUAUAUUAAUGCUCUCAACAACACCAUUUAAACAUAGAGACAUCUGAUGUCUAAUCCAAUUCUCUCUACAAUAAGCAUAAAUUUUUGUCAAAAGUCUCCUGUGCUUAUGCGCUUCAGCUUCUCAGUUUCACGUCAAAUUAAGACCUUAAACUUCUUGAAGAUGCCCAAAACAUCAAUUUUACUCUUCAAGGUUUAAACCCAAGUCUUUUUUUGAAUGAUCAUCAACAAAAGUCAGAAAAUAUGAACUUCUGCCAAUUAUUAUUGUCUUCAAAGGACCGCAUAAAGGACAAUGCACCAAAUAAAAAAUUUAUGGUCUUCUAGGUGAGUGAAUCCUAAAAGAAACUUUGCUCUUAUUUUUAACAAGACAGUGAUCUCUUCAUGUGUGGAUUUCUCAUGUCAAACAACAUAUUUAGAUUCCUUAGUUUAACCAUGUCUUUCUCACUCAUGUGACAUAACCUCUUAUGCCACAAAUCAACUUCUCAGUUGAUUCAACGACAUGUUUAUCUUUAUUAAUUUUUGCAUGUGACAAUAGAGGUUAGAACAUUUCAUACCUCUAGCAACACUACUAGAAAAAGCAAAAUUAGCGAGGGAAAUUAGUGACGGAAAAAAUGAAAUUCCUCACAAAUUCCUUGGUCGCAAAAUUUAGUGAUGGAAUUAGAGAGGGAUUUUACGUUUUCCCUCACUAAUUUUUGUUUUUUUAGUAGUGCAACGAUCAUAGAUCCCUUGGAAAGUUUCCAUGAGUACUGUGAGAACAAUCUGUCAUAACCCUCAUCACGCAGUUUAGCCACUGAAAGCAAAUUCAAUCGGAUGUCUGGAACAUAAUUCACAUCCUUGAGAGUUAACUUUGUACCAUUAGACAUCUUCCAUUUAACUUCCCCAAGACCAACAGACUUUAACUCACGUUCAUAAGCCAACUUCACAUCAGCAAAUUAACCUAAAG